AAUAGAGAUCAGCACCACAUAAAUUUCACAAGGGAUGGAAUUGAUGGCAGAUAACAGAGAAGAUUCAGUUAGCAAAGCAACGAGACAUACUUGAGAGAAAUUGGAUUCUACCAGUAUAGGGAAAAAAAUUGCAGAUGGUGCUGCUUCUCUUAUAAAUUUUUAUUAAGGAAAUUAGAAAAAUCUCAAUAAUCAAUCUUUAAAACGCGUGAGAAGGAGGAGAAGGGGAUAUAUAUGACGGAAAACGAGUCGUUUAUCUAGCGGACUUUUGGAUAGAGGAGGUGAAGAUGACGUCAGUGUUUUAUCAGUGUUGGACAAUUAUUAUUGUUAGGCUGCUUAUCUAAAAAUCUGUUUAAAUCGGAUCACCACAACCACUUACAAUAUGACCACUUGCUACAAAAUCACCCUAU
rnacentral:misc_RNA from 1 species